rnacentral:snoRNA from 1 species
CUUACUACGCAAGCAGGGUCUUUGAAUUGAAACUGACUUUGCUCUUAGGUUCCAAAAAUGAAAAGAUGGAUACAGGUAUUGUAAGCAAAGUAAACGAAAGACCUACUUAUCUAUCAGCAUAU